CCCGUUCUUACUGUUCUUUUUUUUUUUUUCAGAUUUCAUAUCAGUACAAAAUCGUGUCCUUUUUCUUUUUCCUGUUCUUAAUCGUUCUUUUUUCCCCACAUUCUAUGAUUUCAAUCUUUUUCUUUUCUCUCUCAACCGCUUCUAAAUCAAAUCCAGGGUCCAGCUUUCUCCCCUUCUUCCAUGCUUCUUCAGAUGGGGGCAAGCCUUUCCCCUUGCUCGCAACAUAUUGGAGAUCCUCUAUGGCUUUCUUGAUUUGGUGAGUGAGUCUGAGUCGAUUCCGAGUAGGGCUGAAUAUGAAGACAAACGAGUAAUCCAUCACCACGUGGAGAAAUCUCCAAAAAAAGGGGUGGUAUACUCUCCUGUCGCAAGUCAGCGGCGGAGAGUCCCUCCACCAAAUCGUUCAAAUCGUUGACCGCAGGCUUAAGCUCCUUUAGCAUCCAAAGCAGAUCAUCACCUAGGGUGUGGUACUGCAACUCUCUUUGGAACACGUCUUUGAUCUCUUUAAGAUGCUUUUUAAGUUGAUCAAUGUCUGUUGACAACGGCCUAAUACGUGAGCUUGACAACAUGAGGUACCAUAUCAAGAGGUGCUUUGCAAAGUACAUUGAAAAUGGGAGAAGGAUUAUAAAACUUCAUCACCUGAUGGAAGAAAUGGAGCAAGUUAUAAAUGACAAUAGUGACAGGAAUCAAGUAUUGGAAGGAAAUCUUGGCUUCAUAUUGAGCUCUACACAGGAAGCUGUCAUUGAUCCACCGUACGUUUCCCUUUCAGUAAGGCCAAAUCCUGGAGUUUGGGAAUUUGUAAGAGUGAGCUCUGAGGACCUUUCAGUUGAGGGUAUCACCUCCACGGAUUACCUCAAAUUCAAGGCGCAUGGAGGUCCAAUAAUUCUAUCUCAGAUAGAGAAUGAGUUUGGACCAGUGGAGUGGGAAAUUGGUGCUCCUGGAAAAGCUUAAACAAAAUGGGCUGCUCAAAUGGCUGUUGGUUUAGAUACUGGUGUCCCAUGGAUUAUGUGCAAGCAAGAAGAUGCUCCUGAUCCUGUUGUAAGCAACUCUUGCUAAACCUUUUUUUUUCCCAUUUGGAGCUCUCUUUUUCCUUGCUGUGACAAGACAAUUGUAAAGAAAGGACCAUGAUCUCCUGAAGAAGAUGUUAAGCUAAAGGAAUACAUAGAGAAACAUGGAACUGGAGGGAAUUGGAUUGUUCUCCCACAAAAAGUUGAAGCUACAACCUCUCUCAGUUCUCUCAUGCCAGAUGCUUCAUCUAUUGCCUCGAGUAUUAAGUACCAUGCAGAGUUCACUCCAUUGUUUUCUCCAGAGAAUUUUGAACUUCCACAAGCUUUCUUUGCAACUGCACAAAGUGUUCGUGAUGCUCUCAUAAUAAACUGGAAUGCUACUUAUGAUUACUAUGAGAAGCUGAAUGUUAAGCAGGCAUAUUACCUUUCAAUGGAAUUCUUACAGGGUAGAGCAUUAUUAAAUGCAAUUGGCAAUCUAGAGCUAAUUGGUCCCUAUGCAGAGGCUUUGAGCAAGUGCGGGUAUAAAUUAGAGAACGUGGUACACCAGUAGCCAGAUACUGCACUUGGAAAUGGGGGUCUUGGGCGUCUUGCUUCGUGUUUCUUGUAUUCUUUGGCAACCUUGAACUAUCCAGCAUGGGGUUACGGAUUGAGAUACAAAUACGGCUUAUUUAAACAACGAAUAACCAGAGAUGGGCAGGAGGAAGUUGCUGAAGAUUGGCUUGAGGUUCAAGUAAUGUUGGGGUUGAGACCUCAGGCGGCAGGAGGCCGGAGCUGAGUUAGAUAUUGCUGUUAUUAUAUGCUGACUUGUUGGAUGCUGGUUAUGCAUGUUGCUUUUAUGCUUUUAGCUUCAUCAUGACUUUGGAUUAUCUAGUUGAGACGCUGUGAUUUGGUGAGCAUGGGGAUUGUCCAUGCCACAUAGACUUGUUUAUGUCUUGCUUUAUUUGGAGUUGUAAUAAUGUAUCAGGAUUAUUG